AUUUAUCAGAGUGAAGAUUUAUCAGACUGAAGAUUUUGCGAAGUGCUGUGAAAACACUGGUUUAGAUCUUCUGGAGCUGAAACCGGCAGGAAGAUGUGGGUCCCAUGGAUAAUUCAUCACAUGACACAGAAGGCUCCUCGUAACAGUUUCAAUAAAAGGCAAGCUCUGUUGAAUUUCUAAAAAGAUGACCGCUUUUCUGCCAUCAAAAUGCCACCCAUAGCCACUGUUAAAUAUAUUUCCACAAGUAUUCUACUCUAUAUGAAGACUAGCAAAACAAAGGAUUGGCAAUUUUGCUGAGUGUAUCCAAAGUCACUGGGGAACUGGAGAAGAGAGGCAGUGCCUGUUUUGCAAUCUUGGGAAAGCUUAUAGCCCUGAGGUAUACAAUCUUCAGUAGGAUCCAGCAUUUACCAUAGGAUCAGAUGUUCAAAUGAAUCACUUCAUCUGAAUUGCUGCUGGCCAUAAGGAUUAGGAGAAUAAAAUAGACUAAGGACAUGUCUACACUGGAGGAAGAAAGAACGAUGGAAACACAUGCCAGCUUGAUCCGGUUUUCAUGGGCAACCAUAGGAGGAAAGACAUAGCAGCCUGCGAUGCUGGAAAGUUUUUUAAACAUUUUAACAUCGACAUGGCCUCAUGUGAACACAUGUGGUGUUAAAAGUGGACAACCACACUGUAAAUUGCACUACAGGUAAAAAAACACCUGAUAAAAUUAAUAGGCAGGUCUGAAGUGCAGUUUUUAUGCAAAGAGGUUAACUUACAGGAAAAGACAUCUAAGGUCAAGAUACAUGAUUCAUCGCUGAAUAGUUUGUGGUCUACAGAAAAAUGCACAGAUGAAAAGAUAAAGACAUAAAAUAUGACACUGUCAAGUUCACUUUCUGAAUUCAUUUUAUUCUAGUAUUUAUUCCCCACAGGUUACAAGUGAGUGGUUUCAUGAGUGGUUUAGAAAAUCUAGAAAUUAUCUGACCACAUAAACUCAGGUUGCAAAGUAUUUUCUCAAAUACACAGUGUUUUCCUUCAUGACACUUCUCUCUUUAUAUAUCGGAUGCUUAUUUCUUUUUUCUUCUUCAUGGGGCACUUAGCACUCGGCAGGACCUGCAGCAGUGACCCUGCAGCAUAAUGGCUUCUCUUCCCCCCACAGAACAAGAGCACUGUGAGAGGAAGGUGGGUUAAAUGCCCUGCUGCACCUGCCAGUUUGCUUCGUGAGCAGCACAGGCUGGUUCCCCCUUCACAAAGCCCAUUUACUCAGGUGACUGUAAUGCUGUAUGUGUUCCCUGUGUAAAACCGUACACUGCCCGCUCCUUGAACGUUGUGCACAGUUCUGAUUCCCUGAGCUUUAAAAGGUGUAGGCGAUAUGGAGAACACGCAGAGAAAUGCUACCUAUAUGAUCCCAGCCAUAGGGAACAGCUUCUGUAUCAGGAAUAAAGACAGUUAAACGGACAAGCACAGAGAACAGAGAAUAUUGGUGGAGAUUUGAUAACAGUCCCUAAAGCCACCAACGAUGAAUGGGGAAAUGCCUCCCUGAGCUAUGAAAAUGUUACUGCAGCUACAAGGUUACAGGGGUUUAGAAAGCAACUAGACAGAUCACUGGAAGAAAAGACCACCACAAGAAAAGGCCAUGAAGGGCUGUAGCAAACAAAGAUGCUCUCUACAGCUAUGGAAACCCCUCAGUUGUGAUAAGCUGGAAACACGGGAAACAUGCUGGGCAAGUACUGGCACACAUUUCCCUUGCCUUUACAUGGUCCCCUUGGCAUCCACUUUGAGCCAGUAGCAGGAUACUGGGCUAGGCAGAUCUUUCAUCGAGCCCAGAAGAAUGGGUCUUAUGUUCUUGCAUCCACUUUCUGGAAUGGACUGAGUGGAUCACGUGCCUUCUGCCACCUGAAUAGAUGACAACAUUCAACAACCAGCAUAAUGAUCUGAGCUAUAUUUUAACUGAUGUUUUUUGGAAGGAAGCUGUUGGACAGCUGGGAUGAGCUGUCUCGCUUGGCAUCUUCUGUAUCGCCCGUGUCCUUUGUGCCACUCCUGUAGCUCCUCGGGAGAGAGCAUCCUUCCCUGCCCCAGGCCAGGGGUGCUGGCCAUUUUGAAGGCCAGAAAGACCUACGUCAGAGACAGUUCUGCCACCCAAACAUUAUGGACACCAUUGAUGUGUGUACCAGAUACAUGGCUGGAGCACAAGAUCCAGAAACUCUGCUUCCUACUGCCCAGGAUGAAGUACAACAGAAAGAUUGACUUGCUGUCCAAUAGCUGAACCGUUAAUUUAUUUUUUUUAUUAGAAGCAAGUGGUUAAACUCCCACUUUUUCCAAGCUGAAAAAAGACAAGGGGAACAAAAAUGGUGUUAGUAUUAUGUCUAGCUUAACAAUCAUCUCAUAAAUAUCCCUAAUGUCAAAAGGAAGUAAGGAAAGUUGGGCUACUUUAAAUAAUUUUCAGCAAGAGCCUGCAAUGAUGUCUCAGUAUGCUGGAAAGCUAAGUAUACAGAAAUAAAUUGCCUCUUUGACAGAGCAUUUACUUACUAAUCCUAUAGACUUUAGAUCUUUCUGAUAAAGGACUUCCAACAGCACAUACAGAAUAUUCAGAUAAAAUGAAAAUAAGACUGAGAGAGAUGUGUGGGUACUUAAUAUCUUUAGAAACAAGGUCUUCACAAAUAUUUGAGUAAUGGAAUGCAUUAAUGCGGGAGAGAAACUGGACAAUAUAUGACUUAAAGCAUUUUCAUGCCAGAGCUAUCAAAAUGCACAGCCAGUACACUCUGACUUCACAUGAAAUUCUCCAUAUUGAGCCCCCAAUCAGAAGACUGAGAUUACAGACUGAAUCAAGCCAACACAUUCAACAGACCCCAAACCUCGAAGGUAUCAGAAGACUUUAGAUGUGAUGCACUAUGAGCUGCUGUAGACAUAGAUACUCAGUCUGGAUAUACAGGUCUGGAUAUACCAGACAGGAACUCCCAACCAAGAAAAUCAUUACUUCUUAAUAAUUCUUCAUUAUAAAAAACAAUCCUACUUUUAGACCUGAAUUCAGUUCCAGUUAAAAUCAUACAGCCACCUCCCAGGAAAUGUUUGUUUUCCUUACAUUUAAGAAAAUGGACAUGCAUAAAGUUAUUUAAGUCAUUCUCCUUAACAGUUUCCUUGGUUAUUUUUCAGUCCAGUUUUGCAACAUUCAAUUCAUUGAAUAAUGAAUUCACAUUAUUUGUGAACAAGCCUUUAUUCUCUUUGAUGUUGAAUCAUCAGCAAUCAAAUGUAGACAUGCAUAAUGUUUCUCCAAUAAAUUAUUUUCAAUACUUUU